AUUGAACGCUGGCGGAAUGCUUUACACAUGCAAGUCGAACGGUAGAGGGGGCAACCCCUCGAGAGUGGCGAACGGGUGAGUAAUAUAUCGGAACGUGCCCAGUCGUGGGGGAUAACGUAGCGAAAGUUACGCUAAUACCGCAUACGAUCUAAGGAUGAAAGCGGGGGACUCGCAAGAGCCUCGCGCGAUUGGAGCGGCCGAUAUCAGAUUAGGUAGUUGGUGGGGUAAAGGCUCACCAAGCCAACGAUCUGUAGCUGGUCUGAGAGGACGACCAGCCACACUGGAACUGAGACACGGUCCAGACUCCUACGGGAGGCAGCAGUGGGGAAUUUUGGACAAUGGACGCAAGUCUGAUCCAGCCAUUCCGCGUGCAGGAUGAAGGCCCUCGGGUUGUAAACUGCUUUUGUACGGAACGAAAAGGUUUCUAUUAAUACUAGGAGCUCAUGACGGUACCGUAAGAAUAAGCACCGGCUAACUACGUG
rnacentral:rRNA from 1 species